rnacentral:rRNA from 1 species
AUUGAACGCUGGCGGCAUGCUUUACACAUGCAAGUCGAGCGGUAACAGGCCUUCGGGUGCUGACGAGUGGCGAACGGGUGAGUAAUGCAUCGGAACGUACCCAGAGGUGGGGGAUAAGGAACCGAAGGCUGUCCUAAAACCCCAUUGGAUCGGAGGAUGAAACCGGGGGACCGACCAGCAUUUUUUGGCUUCGGGCCUUUGAGGCGCCCGAUGUCGGAUUAGCUAGUUGGUGGGGUAAAGGCCUACCAAGGCGACGAUCCGUAGCUGGUCUGAGAGGACGACCAGCCACACUGGGACUGAGACACGGCCCAGACUCCUACGGGAGGCAGCAGUGGGGAAUUUUGGACAAUGGGCGCAAGCCUGAUCCAGCAAUGCCGCGUGCGGGAAGAAGGCCUUCGGGUUGUAAACCGCUUUUGGCAGGAACGAAACGGUGUCCGCUAAUACCGGGCGCUAAUGACGGUACCUGCAGAAUAAGCACCGGCUAACUACGUG